rnacentral:rRNA from 1 species
UACAGAGGGUGCUAGCGUUGUUCGGAAUCAUUGGGCGUAAAGCGCGCGUAGGCGGGUCGUUAAGUCGGGGGUGAAAUCCUGGAGCUCAACUCCAGAACUGCCUUCGAUACUGGCGAUCUUGAGUCCGGGAGAGGUGAGUGGAACUCCGAGUGUAGAGGUGAAAUUCGUAGAUAUUCGGAAGAACACCAGUGGCGAAGGCGGCUCACUGGCCCGGUACUGACGCUGAGGUGCGAAAGCGUGGGGAGCAAACAGG